GAUGAAGAACGCAGCGAAAUGCGAUAAGUAAUGUGAAUUGCAGAAUUCAGUGAAUCAUCGAAUCUUUGAACGCACAUUGCGCCCGCCAGUAUUCUGGCGGGCAUGCCUGUUCGAGCGUCAUUUCAACCAUCAAGCCCCCGGCUUGUGUUGGGGACCUGCGGCUGCCGCAGGCCCUGAAAACCAGUGGCGGGCUCGCUAGUCACUCCGAGCGUAGUAAUACAUCUCGCUCAGGGCGUGCUGCGGGUUCCGGCCGUUAAAAAGCCUUAUUUACCCAAGGUUGACCUCGGAUCAGGUAGGAAGACCAGCUGAACUUAAGCAUAUCAAUAACGGAGGA
rnacentral:misc_RNA from 1 species